rnacentral:lncRNA from 1 species
CUGUAAUUUUUUAUUAUACAAUCCUUUUAUAUGUAUAUAUUAUCUUGUCUAAAUGUUGAAUAGUUUUUUACAGGUCAUUUUUAAUAAUGUUAUCAUUAUUUUGCUAAGGCAAAAGUAAUUUCUGUGUUAAUUUAAAUUUUUAAUGUAAUUUAAUUUGUUAAAGUGUUGUCUGCAAUAAUUGCUUUUAUUUGUUAUCUUUUAAAUGUGUGUGUCUUUUAAAUUGCAUGAAAUUUGUCUUUGUCAUAUAUGUGAUUUUCCUAUAUAUCUUUCAUUUCUUCAUUCUCCAGCAAAGGAAAAGAUGAAGCAGAUGAGAAAUCAAGAACUGAAGUGGAUAAUCCUGCAUUUGAGUAAGGAUAAUCAUCAAUGUUUCAAAAGAAUCAUCCUAAUCUUUUUUUACUUUUUUACAGGAAUAUUCUAAAAAUUUAUUAUUCUGUAUAUCUGGCUUAUUGCAGUAUGCAUAUAUAAAAUAUAAAUAUGUAUAUAAAAGAAUUUCUGUUUCCUUUCUUAAUUUAUUUCUGUAAUCUAACAUUAACC